rnacentral:lncRNA from 1 species
CGCUAGACGUUCUAAUUAAUGCGGAAUACUUAUGCCGAAUUUACAUCGUAAUUUUCGAACAUUUGGCUACAGUUCUUCACGAAUUAUAAAAAGUAUCGUGUUUAUAUUAAAGUUUUAGCGAAUCCUUAUGCUGAAUUUACAUUGAAAUUUUUAAACAUUUGGUUACAGUUGUAUAUCAGAGUUCUAGUGAAUUCAAUGCAGAAAUGGAUUCGUUGGAAUUUACAUUCUGCAAUUUUCCAACAUUUAGCUAUAAUUAUUCGCAAACUAUAAAAGGUAUCGCGUCCACGCCACAUCUAACGCGGAAUCAGACUCGAUUUUACGAUUCUCGAACAUUCGAGAAUUAUUCGCAAAUGGAAAAAGUUCGUGUCUACGCAAAAAUUAGACUCGCCGGGACUCUCGCGUCGAAUUUACGUUACACGAUUCUCGAAUAUUCUCGAAUAUUCGCGAAUCGGGGAUUCUGUAUCGAUCGAUGGAUUACUCUCGCGAAAUAUAAUUGCAGUGAUGCGAACGCGGUACAAUCGAGGUCCUUGGUUAUGUAAAUCUAGGGGGGAAGCGAUUGGCGGCGGGAAGUUCGUGCCAACUUCCGUGAAACGAGACGAGUGGAAAAGAAGGAUUAAUAAAACGUGCAGUAGAUAUACGGUGCGUCACGAAGUGACGCAUCGGGUUUAUUACGCGAUGCGAUCGGAAUAAUUCGGACGAUUGGAAAAUGAAAAUCGAUGAUUCGAUUUUCUACCGAACAUUUGCAAAAACUAUUUCCGAUUUUUACCGGAUAUUUUUAACGUUCUCGUGCAACGUAUUCUCGUGCAUAGUUAGCGAUCCUGUUCACGCCACUUUUUCGAGUUGUCCUUUUCUUUUGCGCGCGCGCGCAUGCGCUCGCUCGAUCAAACAGUUUUUCUCGCUAGUAGAAUAAUGUAUCUUCGCAAUGAAAAUUUUUAUCGAAUAAUUCUCGCGUUUUCGCGCGGUAACAAAACACACGUAUAUUGCGCAAUGCUUGUAAACACAUUAUAUUUCCUUAUUCGUCUAUAUAAAUCAUUCGUUUAAAUCUAUCUCUUAUCAAUCGCGUUUUUUUAUUAUUUAUAACUUAUUCGCGUUUCACACGAAUAAAAUCGUUUAUUAUUAAUUGAGGUAAAGCGGAUGAAUAACAGGUUUCCUCGUAACGUGAAACAUCGGAACGAGAGUUUCAGUUUGCUUUAAGAGUCGAGAUGGUUCCGGGAACCGGUUGCGUCAUCCGGAUUCGCGAAAAUGCGGCCCAUUUCCGGGAAACAUCAUCCAUGAGAAGAGGCUGCAAAGAACUAAUUAAUCUCAAGGGGAGACGAGAACGAGAAAACACAUUUGACACGAAUUAGAAGGAAGUUGAAUUUUCUUCCCGUAUUUCGAUUUCUUCUUCCCGUUUCGUCUUUUAUGGCUUCACCGUCAUUGGCAACACCGCUCGGCCGAUGUAAUUUUAGAUUAGACCGUUGGACGUAAACACAAAAGAAAUUAACUCCAGCGACCGAAGCUACACAUUUCGCGAAAGGACAACGAGCAAAAAAACUGUGUACAAUUCUGUCACGUCGAGAUACACGCUCGGAGAUACAUACACGUUCGUCGAAGAAUCGUAAUCGAAGGCGUAAUUUAUUCUUCCGUUUCUCAACGCUUUGUUUUCUCUCUCUCUCUCUCUCUCUCUCCGAUCCUCGCCUUGUCCUUGCCACUCGAAACUCGGGAAUCGCGUCUGGCAUUGAGAAAAACUUCCGGAAAACAGUCACGUUCCAAGCGGACGUCCUCGAGCGAACUUUUCUUUUCUCGUCCAUUUUAAACGGGGGGAGGGGGGGAAAAAAAUCCACGAACGGUAAUCGAACCAGGAAACCGUAUCGUUAUCCCCUCAACUUCAUUUUUCGAAUUGGAAAGACGCAAAAUUUUCGAGUUUAUAUAACGAGUGUGCAUUAAAUCUAAGCGAUAUCGAAGAAAUUUAAUCGCGUUCCAUCCCAAGAUUUGUUCCAUUUUUUCCAAGAUAAAUAUAAAUAAAAAUUCUCAUCUGGAAAAAAACAGGAAUUAAAAAUAAAUUAAAUAAUGAUAAAUUAA